AUGCAUAAUAACUGAGAGCUGCAGCUUCACAGUUUGUAGUUGCGGAUUCUCCUACAACAUGCAAGAAAAUUGGAGAGACUUUGACAGCAUUGGUCCUGUGUUUCCUCUGAUUGUCACUCUACUCUCCUACAUCC